GCUAGAUUAUACAUCCCGUCUCCAGCUUCAAGAGACACAGGACCACCAACAGAGAUUUUAGAUUAGGUGCCCAAAGGGCUAAAUUGCUUUUUUUUUUUUUUUUUAGGAGAAAAAAAAAUCACAUUGUUUUUCAAAAGCUAGAAAACAAACAAAAUAUGGGCAGUUUGUAGUUGAAGGUUAUGCUCACACGUGCAGAUGAAUGUCACUUAAGAUAUUUUCAAGUAUAUAACUCAGACUCUAUGGUUUGUAGUCUCUGCACACAUAGCAUCAUACCUUGCUCACAGUAUUCAUACAAUAAAAUCUGUUGCAUGAACAAAUGAAUAAUCAUAUGCAUAGUUUGCAAGGAGAUGAGAUUCCCUGAUAUUUAUUACCACUGAAUUGCCCGUGUACAAAGAAUGGCAACUUUAUAAACAUUGCCUUUCAUCAAAUUAAAGAUAAUCACCUAAAAUGAAGUCUGUAGUGAGGUAAUCACUUGUAUUUUUAUUUAAUGAAACAAAACCUAUGCAUGUUUAACUAAGAUAGAAAGAUUUGAAAAAACUGUGAUUAAGAAAAUAUCACAGCAGAAUUAUUCAGUAAUGAAAUCUUUGUUUGAAUUUAGAUUUAUACAAAUGGAAAAAGGCAUAAGGGAAUUAGUUAGAAUCCCAUUAUGUUGUUUGUGAGGCAAAAUGUUAGUUAGUUAAACACAGUCAUCAAGCAUUGCUUAAAUUCUAAGAAUAAACUGUUUCCACCAAAAAAAAAAAAAAUGGUUUGUUAUUCAUGAGCAAAAUACUAUCUUGCAAGAACCAUUGCAUCAGCAACUAACCUUUUCAAGUGUCUUUAACAUUUCUCCAUUACAUCUCAAGCUUUUGUAGCAAAUUUCUGAACAGGACUAUUUUUUUGACAAAUGUUUGACAUUUUCUUUGUCCACUAAGACAUUUGUUUAGUUGUGAAAAUAAUUGCAUAUACCUGAUGCUUCUUGAUGCAUUUAUUUUUUUCCAGCUGCUAUCAACUUAACUCUGGAGAUAAGAUCUAAGCCAAGUUUCUGAAGUCCUAAAUGUCGGAUUUUUUUUUUUUUUUCUAGAACUUUGGGAAAGUUAGAGAGUGCUAUAGGAAAAAUUAGGUGUGCCUAACUUACAUAGGGAGAAAGAUGACAUAAACUUUGUUCUGUGGCAUUCAUGUUCUCUUUAGCCUUCUGGAAGAGAAGCAAACAUUUAGGAGACAAGCAGUUCUUCUGUUACUGGCUUCUGUACUUGGAAGGCUUCUCUUGCAGAAAUGCUCUGAGUGAUUUUCAGAUUCACUCAAUGAGUUUCUACAAAACCAUGGGUCAUCGUUUCAACAUUUUGAAGUGAUUGGUAAGACCAAAGUAGUUUAAUAUGUGCUUCAGAAUCUGCCACAUUUGCCAAGCAAUGGAAGCAAUUCUUAGCAUGGAGCCAAAUGCCUACUGAUAACAAAAACGUAGUCAUUUAAGGAUUACCAUAUCUUUUCCUAAGUGAUUUGAUUGCAGUGUAAUUCCAGCAGGUGAGAUUUAGGGCACAAUAAUCAUUCAUGCAAGCUUUAGCCAAGGCAAGUUAAUGUACAUUUUACUUAAGGUAUAUAAAGAAUUUUAAAAUACUCAAUUCUGCUGCUAAAAUUCUCUCAAAAUAACUAUGUUAUUGCCUCACGAACACACUUUUGAAUCUUGUCAUGAUACAAGCUUCUUUUAGGCCCCAGUGCUAAAGUUAGCACUUCCUGUAUUAAUUUUUAGCAUUAUUAGCAGAGAAUGUAGUAUUCUUUAAAUUUUACAUUUGAAGGAAAAAGAGGGAAGAAAAAUCUUAAUUACUCAUGGCCUGACUUUAAGGACAAACUUCUGCAAACAUAAGUUUCUCUAUUGUUUUAUUUGUAGCUUAUACAUCAAGUUUUAAGAAUGGUCUCGAUGACAAGCACUCUCUUGAAAUAUUUCUUCAUUGGGAUGGAAAUGUUUCAGCUGUGUUGGAGAUUAGAGUAUAAUUAAUUCAGAAAAGCAGCUUCAAAAGAGAUCACUGGUCUUUUUUUUGUAAUUUAGCCUGUAAGUUAACACACUAAGGCAAGACAUAUAGAAAUGAUUAUAAAACCAAUAAGCAUUUUUUUUUUUAAAGUAUUCUGUAUAGGAACUCUGCUAGAUGCUGUGGGAGCAGGGAGGGGUCAGUGCAAGGCUGAAUAAGAGCAGCUCCUGCCCUGGAGGUACUAAUAGUCUUAUUUUUGGUGCUACGCUAUAGUAUUCCUUUAUUAGGAGGAUGAGUCUCCAGAUUUCAAAGCUGUUUUACUCAGCAAUGAGAAGACCCAAAGAACUGCUGACUUCCAAGGAAUUGUUGAAAGUCACUGGGGCCAGCCCAAGCCCCUAACUUGUGACUCAUUACUUGUUGAAGCCCACCACAAUUCCUUAUCUCUAGAAGUUGACUCAGAUCUUAAGAAGUCCUUAACAUACAUCCCACUUGGAAAUGGGCUUCCUUUUAAUGGCUACGGGGGAAAACAAGAUUCUGAAAGUUGGAGAAGUCUAACUUAAAUUAAUCUUGUUAGAGAAAGAAAGAGGACGAGAAUUGACAAGCCAAAAACACAUGGGUGCUUGCGAUGGGACUAUCAAAGGCAAAAUCACAGAAAACCAGUUAAAUUAUAAGGUAGUAAUAAUGAUCCCUAGGAGCUUAGAGUUUCAAAACCAGGUCCAACUCUUGAGUUUUCACCCUGAAACUUUGUGGGAAAUAUGGAUUAAGGCAAAACAGAUUGCUCUUGAGUUUAGGUGAUUUCCAAUAAGCAGUAUGUAAAACUACAUUUGGAGACUUGUCUGCUGUGCAACAAUUUCAAUUUAAACUAUGGAUCCAAAAAAAGUAUAAAUUCUCUUUCUAAAUCUGUAUCUCUUUAGAUUUUUAAAAAAAAUCUUAAACCCUAUUUAAUGCUGAGAAUCAGUAGUUUCUUCAAUCAGUUCGUGGUACCUGGUAGGCUGUGCCAAAUGAAUUAGUUGUGCCUCAGCCAUGUUCUGAUGCCCUUUAAUGUCUUCUCAGUUACUACAUAUUGGCAGCUUUACUCAGAAACACACCCCUCCCCCCUCCCUCUUGACAAAACAAGUUUUAUUGACAUGGAAUGUAAGUGGCCUCAGAAGGUUGGCCAGGUGUUGUGCACAUUGGUUUUGAAAAAUGACCCUGAUGACAUAGUAUGUGGCAAAGCGAUUCAUUCAUGUGACUCUUCAAGGAAUCAAGUAUUAUACGGAACAUAAAAUAUUUAAUCUGUUACUGGAUGUAAUGUAAUUUUUAAAAAAUUAUACAUGCCUAUUCUUAUCCCUAAAGACCUGUGUCUUACUAUAGUUCCACGUUAAGGAGAAUACUUGGAUUCUCACAUUUUUUUUUUAAGUAUCUCAAUAAGACUAGGAGUUUAAAGAACCCUAAAGCUUUAUUUACAGCCCCCAAAUAGCAAUCUUAUUUGACUUUCCAAUUGUGAAUAUGUGUUACCCCUAGAAAUUAAAAAUACUGAUUCUGUUGUUACAGAAAUGCAAAAAUGCCCCCCACAUAUUUAUUAAAUGUGUUUAUAAUUCCUGUUAAUCUGAACCUAUAGAGGAAACAAACAAUGUCCUUCCUGGAAAUGUUUGUUGCAUAUUUGCUGGCAUGGCAUUUGCAGGUCAGACUGCUUGGGGAAAAAGUUCAGCAGAGUCUUGUUCUGAGCCAGACACAAAAGUUCUGCCGGGACUUGAUUCACAUUGUUGAGACUGUUGCUAAUUUGAAGCAUUCAGUCUGAGUAGAGGAGGCAUGAAGAAAUGGAAUCUGGUAAAUAACUGAGUGAUCACAGUCUCGCAUGUUAGCUGCUCUUUGGUACAGAUGUUUUCUUGGCGGUCACUAAAAAUAACGAAAGAUAAUCUAUUUUUUUCUGCCAACAAUAUUCAACAUUCCUAAUUUUAUUGUUUUGGGUAGGAAUUUCUUAUGGGGAAAAGGGCAGUUUUUCAAUUUAAGUUUCAAGAAAAGAAAGUAUAAUAUUAUGAAGUAUUCAACUAGAAGAGUUUUCAGUUCUCAGACUCCUAUAGAACCUCACAGUGUUUGAACAAGUUUCGCAAAAGGUUCUCUAAAGCCUUCCUUUUGGGCAUGGAUCUUCUUACAUAUACAUUUAAUGAUGUACAUAUAUGGUAUAUUUUAUCUUUGUGAAAGGAUGACGGAAGCAGGCAGGUAUGUGUCUACAGAAUUAGUUUCUGGGUGAGGCACUUUGUGACUGAUCUUGGCCUGGAAAUACUGCUCUCACCCAGAUUUAAUGACCUCGAAGACAAAGAUGGGUAGACCUGAAGUUUCAAAAGCCUUUUAGAACUUUGCUGAUGUUUGCCAAACUUGAGGAACUCAGAGAACCACAAAUGUGCACGUAUUCUAAACUACACCCAAGCUAAGAGCAAAGCCCUUUAACUGAGGGUGUUUUUUUGUGGGGAUGGCAUGAAGAGAGUCACACAUUUAGCAUAUGUGGAGUAGUUGUUUCUUUACAAUAUGAACUUUUCCUGGUUUUCUCUUGAUGAUCUGAUAGGUUAAUUAGAAAGGACUUUGGAAUAGUGCUGUGUGCUUAAAGUUUCAUGCAGUAUAAUAAAAAUACUGCACCUGAGAUUUCCAUGUGCGUGAAGCCCUCACAUGCUUCACGUGAAAGAGUUUUAUUUGAGAAAGCUCAGUACCAGUACCUAGAGUUACUGAAUUUAGCUAGUACAUUUUUGGGUACUAGAGUAUAUACAUCAGUACCUUACUGCAGUUAAAGUUCAGUACUUUCCUACAUGGUGAGAAAUGUCUAGCACUCUUUUUUGUGUUCAGUUCUACAGUUCUGGAAGCUUUUCAUAUGCAUCUAGAUAGAUGAUAGAUAGAUAGAUAGAUAGAUAGAUAGAUAGAUAGAUAGAUAAUCACAAAGGUAACGUUUUGCUGCUUGGCUUAAGAGAAUGUUUUAAGACUUUUCUGGAGGGAUGUAAGAGUUAAGGGCUAUUUUAUGGGCUUACCUUCCCCGCUCCUUUUUUUGGUGUCAUUUCUGCCUCCCCUGUUGCUUCUCACUCAGAGGGCCAUUCUUGGAAUUCCUCUUCAUUUUUUCUUGGCUAGUGACUUAUCCCACACAUGCCUGUGAUUGCACCGUGCACUCUCCAGUGGUUGCUUUCUUUUGUGCAGUAGCUCGGGCUUUGUAGAAGAGAACAGGGCAGAAUUCAAAGUGCUUAAACACAGAGCAAACACUAUCAAGUUACGCAGGAUUUUUUUCCCUGAAGGUCCUGCUUAGCUGAUGAAUUGUUAGAUUUUUUUUCUGGUAGGAUAAUUUUUUAAUAAUUCUAUAUCGACCUUUUUUUUUUUUUUUUCUAACUAUGAAAAAAAUAAAGACAAUAGGCUUUCCUAUCCAAAAAGAGUUUUAAACUUACCCCAUCAAAAGUAUAAUGAAUACACGGUUUUGUUAUUUUUAAUAACAAAUUACUUUUGUAGUUAGUGGUUAGAUAAAUUAUAACUCAUAAAUGUGGGGAUUGGUUUUAGCACUACCUUCUGAUACUCCUGUUGAUCAAAAUGAGCCGUUCAUUAACAAAAAUAAUAGGACAGGAUUAUUCCUAAUGAGCUCCUGUCAAAGCUCUUAAAAGUUACCACUUUAUCCCAAAAAGCAAAGUGGUUUAUUUUUCAUGAACCUUUACGUACAUAUGUAUUUUCAUUCAAAAUAUUAAACCAAAGAAAAACACAAGCAGAAACAAGCCUCUAUAAGAAUGUAGUGUAACUUGCCAAUUCUAUUUCAUUUUAAACUAGACCAGUGUCAAAAUUUUUCAGAUAUUUGGGCAGAAGGCAGAUUGAUUGGUUCUAGUAAGCAAGAGUCUCCAGCCUUGGCAGAGGGCAGAACACGAAGCCAGAUCCCCUUUGUGGCCAUGUAAUGAGUGGGGGAAGGAAACCCAGUACACAAAGGGAGGGGAGGAGUAUUCUCCGCAGCCACGUGGUGACUUAAAGGUUGAAACUAUUUUCUUUGUAGUCCCAAUUUUACUUAGUGUAUUUUAACACCUUUGUAAUUCUGUAGCUGUCUUUCCUAAAUUUUGUAUUUGGAAAAGAUGGUCUCCAUCGUUAUGCAAAGUAGUUGCAGACCUGAGAAUAGCAGUGAAAACUCUCAUCUAGUCACAAGUCUUGCCCUGAAGGAAUAAGGCACCUGAAGAUGCCUGUCCUCCCAAGUUCAGGUCUGACUGAGACUGGAAAGUAUCCACAGUGGGAUAAUUGUCUUUCCUAAAAUGAGUGAUUUCCAAGACCAGAGGUUCUGAAGCCUGGUUGAGUUUCUGACAGUCCUCGUUGUUGGAAAGCUCUCAUUUAUGGAUUUGGGGCCAGCUAACCACCUAACUUUGGAGAGCAGAGGAAAUCCUCAUGUACAUGGCCGAUGUUUGGAUUUUCACACUGUGAUCUGGAAUUUUAUGACUCCAUGUUUGGAAAGAGAUUCCCUAAUGUUUACAGCAGUCGUGUCAAAGUUACACUUUGGACCCAGAAACAGGAGAGGUUACAAUUGAGGAAGUCAGAGUUUCACGGAACAAAUAGAAAAAUACCACUAUAUCCACCAUAUAGAGUGAUAUACUAUCUCAUUUCUGAUGCCUCUCAACGAUGUUUAGAUUAGUGAAUUAUUUGUGAAUUAUUCCCUUAACCUCAAGAUUUCUUUAAGUGGCUGCAAGGCAGGGGCCACAGCUUGUCAUUUUCAGAGAUGUCUUCAUUCUAACAUGCCUUAAUAUUUAAAAUGACUUGAAUUAAAAAAAAAAAAAAAACUCUAAACUCUUUAAGAUUUGGGAAAAUGUCAUUCAGUUAUCAGUCUGCUUUGUCAGGGUCCUGAAUCCAGAUGCGGGUAGGAAGCCGCAGCUCAGGAAAAACUCUGGCUUAGAUUGUUUGUACCUAUUCACACUUUCCUUCCUGAUUCCUACAACAUUCCCUUUUUCCUAGCUAGGUAGACACACCUGGCUUAAGCUGUCACUCUCCAUUCCUAAAGCAGCUAGGGAAAAGGCCACAGUGAUCCUGGGGUUCCUUAAUGAAUGCUUGGGACCCAGAAUACACUGUGAAUAGAGGGCAAUGCACCCUAACCACAGUGGCUGAUGCACCCUAACCAACCUCUAUAUCUCAAGAACAAAAUAAAAUUUUUUUGUUUUGAUAGAAGUGUAAAAGAUUAUUUUGAAAGCUGCUUUAGUCUUUCUCUCCUCCUGACUUUGACUAUCAAGGUUUUGAUUUAUCCAGAGACAACAUGUCAUGUUUUUCUGUUAGAAAUGGAAGGUGGUGUCAAAAUGAAAUUGGGUUUCAAAAAGACUUUGGUGGCUUAGAUUUUUUUUCUCUACUCUGGAGGCAGA